GAUGAACGCUGGCGGCGUGCCUAAUACAUGCAAGUCGAGCGAACAGACGAGGAGCUUGCUCCUCUGACGUUAGCGGCGGACGGGUGAGUAACACGUGGAUAACCUACCUAUAAGACUGGGAUAACUUCGGGAAAACGGAGCUAGUACCGGAUAAUAUAUUGAACCGCAUGGUUCAAUAGUGAAAGACGGUUUUGCUGUCACUUAUAGAUGGAUCCGCGCCGCAUUAGCUAGUUGGUAAGGUAACGGCUUACCAAGGCGACGAUGCGUAGCCGACCUGAGAGGGUGAUCGGCCACACUGGAACUGAAGCACGGGCCAGACUCCUACGGGAGGCAGCAGUAGGGAAUCAUCCGCAAUGGGCGAAAGCCUGACGGAGCAACGCCGCGGGAGUGAUGAAGGUCUUCGGAUCGUUAAACUCUGUUAUUAGGGAAGAACAAAUGUGUAAGUAACUAUGCACGUCUUGACGGUACCUAAUCAGAAAGCCACGGCUAACUUCGUG
rnacentral:rRNA from 1 species